rnacentral:rRNA from 1 species
CGGGGUGAGUAAUGUCUGGGAAACUGCCUGAUGGAGGGGGAUAACUGCUGGAAACGGUAGCUAAUACCGCAUACCGUCGCAAGACCAAAGAGGGGGACCUUCGGGCCUCUUGCCAUCGGAUGUGCCCAGAUGGGAUUAGCUAGUAGGUGGGGUAACGGCUCACCUAGGCGACGAUCCCUAGCUGGUCUGAGAGGAUGGCCAGCCACACUGGAACUGAGACACGGUCCAG